AAUGCGUCUGUAGACAAAAGACGUGAGCUGGAACGUUUGGCUUGUGGCCUAACAAUAGAGGAAUGACUUCCACCCUUCAUUGGCGCUUGCAAGCUAACUUCAUUCACAAUAGGAGCAUUAACGGAAACAUUGUCAAUCCUGUUAAAGGAGUUUGAAUCUACAACAUGACCCGCAUCCGAUUCAACGGUAGAAUUAAUGGAAUCGCAACUUGAAGAAAGAUCAGGGACGGAAGAUUCCUGGCAAGCAAUUUGACAAGCAUCAUUAGCAUCGGACAUCAUAGCUUCACGAUACCACAGGCGCCAAGAUAUAUUUUCUAAACGACGACCGUUUUCAAGGUUCUCAGCACACUUGGUAAAAACUAGAAAAAAAAGAGUUAAUAUAGAGCAUCUGUUAACCACAUUACCAUUCCACAUAGAUCCCAGGCUAUCCG